rnacentral:tRNA from 1 species
GGCCGAGUGGCGGAAUGGCAGACGCUCGGGAUUUAAAAUCCCGUGGGCUUUAACGCUCGUGCGGGUUCGAGUCCCGCCUCGGCCA